GGGUUAACAGGUGUCAAAGUUCACAGCAGAGUCAAACUACAGACCACAGCAGCAACCAGCUGGAAGAUCAAUGCGACACAUACGCUUCUCCGUUCCAAGGUGAAUCUGAUAAUGUGACAUAUUCUUCAAUUAAGCUUAAAAAGGUCAAAAAUGUGAAGAAGAAGAAGGAACCAGAAGAGAGCACUGUUUAUGCUGAUGUGAAGACCACAUCAUCUCAAGAUGAUGAAGUGACCUAUGCUCAAGUAAUCCUCAAUAAAUGUAAAGCAAAAGGAAAGAAAGGGAGGACAGCUCCAGCAGCCACUGAAGAAACAGUUUAUUCAGAAGUCAAAGCAGAAACCACUCACGUUGAAUGAGGAGACUUCAUCACCACCACCAACAGAGAACUGCUUCCAGAUUUAUGGAGAGUCUCCACAAUGUCUAUACUGAGGAAGGUGGAAAAGAGGGAAACACUCUGAUCUAUACUUCUCUGAUCUGAUCAAUUAUCCCUUUGAUCUGAAGAGAAAAUAUCAAAUAAAUGUAUUUUAAAAGUGAAACAGAGCCAUUAACUCUCAAGCACUGAGAGUGAAGCUCACACAUUAACUUAGAACUAACUCUGUUUGUAGUGGAUUUUAGAUCAUUGAUGAAUAUGUUAGUAUAUUAUUUCCAAAUGGUUGACAGGUAAACUGUAAAUUAAAUUUGUGGAGAAGUGAUUCCAAGAAGAGUUUAUACAGAUAAUGAUGCUUAAACAAGGUUGUACAUUUUGUUAUAUUUGCAAAAACCAUUUAUCUGCUUAUGCAGCUAAAACCAGAUUUUUUUUUUAAAUCAAACUU